AGAAUCAACGCUGGCGGCGUGCCUAACACAUGCAAGUCGAACGCGAAAGUCCCGCAAGGGGCAAGUAGAGUGGCAAACGGGUGAGUAACGCGUGGGUGACCUGCCUUCGAGCGGGGGAUAACGUUCCGAAAGGGACGCUAAUACCGCAUAACAUCCUGCCUUUGAAUAGGCGGUGAUCAAAGCCAGGGCUUCGCAAGAACCUGGCACUUGAAGAGGGGCCCGCGUCUGAUUAGCUAGUUGGUGAGGUAACGGCUCACCAAGGCAACGAUCAGUA
rnacentral:rRNA from 1 species